UGCCAAAAAUGACUCUAAUAUCAUCCCAUAUUCAUUUGUUCACAGAUCAUUUAUUCACUUUGAUGUUCUCAAUUGGAAGAGCUCUGCAGCGACAAUGAAGCUUUAGGUUUUAGUUCUUCACUCUGUUUUGCUUGAUUGCUCCUUUCUAAUUGCAAGGAUUUUUAUCUCAAUCUCUUGAUCUUCUCGGUCCAUUUUGUCUCUGGAACCAUCAAAAUUGAGAAAGAAUGCACCCCAUCAGUGGUGAGGUUUAUGUAUUGAUCAGCGUGAAGGAGGAGGUUCAGAUCUUCUAUAUGUCAGAAUCAAUCUUCAUUCUAUUAGUUUUCAGUAGUGUGUUGAGGUUUAAUGAGGUUGUGACAAGGUUGCUGUUAGAUGGAGCUUUGAACACUUUCAAGAGAUAUGGUGUCAGAGAGGAAGAUGUUGAUUCAUUUUAUUUCUGAUGCAUUCCAUUUCCCAAGGAGGAGCGGAGAGCCGAUAUUCGGAGGGAGAUGAAAUAUGAUGCUAUUGUGUUAGAAUCUUGGUAAAGGUGGGAAUUGGGAAGCGUAAGGCAUUCUACAGGAUCCAAAAACAUGAAAUAACGAUAUCGUCAACAAGAAAACGAGUUGCAUCUCUUGAUAGUGAAGUUGGCAAGGUACUUUUCGAGGGAGCUUAAGAAAGUGGAGAAGAACAAUGGACAUGUUCCAUAGAUAGACGCUUUUCUGGAUUUGAACAGCAUACUUACCAUGUGUUUAGGUACUUGCUAUGUGUUAGAUUUUAAUAGCAUGUUUCUUAGUGAUGCUUAGGUGGAAAAUUGUAUGUGGUGUACAAACUGGUACACCUUGUGUUAUCUUUGAAUUCUUUUUUUUUUUUGAUUUUUGUAAUG